rnacentral:rRNA from 1 species
GACGAACGCUGGCGGCGUGCUUAACACAUGCAAGUCGAGCGGUAAGGCCCUUUCGGGGUACGACGAGCGGCGAACGGGUGAGUAACACGUGGGUGACCUGCCCUCAGCUCUGGGAUAAGCCUGGGAAACCGGGUCUAAUACUGGAUAUGACUCCAUGACGCAUGUUGUGGGGUGGAAAGCCUUGUGCGGCUGAGGAUGGGCCCGCGGCCUAUCAGCUUGUUGGUGGGGUGAUGGCCUACCAAGGCGACGACGGGUAGCCGGCCUGAGAGGGCGACCGGCCACACUGGGACUGAGACACGGCCCAGACUCCUACGGGAGGCAGCAGUGGGGAAUCUUGCGCAAUGGGCGAAAGCCUGACGCAGCGACGCCGCGUGAGGGAUGACGGCCUGGUGUAACUACUUC